rnacentral:rRNA from 1 species
GCAUAUCAAUAAGCGGAGGAAAAGAAACUAACAAGGAUGGCCCUAGUAACGGCGAGCGAAACGGCCAAAGCCCAACUUGUAAAUCUCCCUCUGGAGAAUUGUAGUCUAUAGAAGCGCCCUCUGUGGCAAGCGGAGCUCAAGUCGGAUCGAAUGCCGCGUCAGAGAGGGUGAUAACCCCGUCGGCUCCUGCUCUGCCACUCCACGAGGUGCUUUCCACGAGUCGGGUUGUUUGGGAAUGCAGCCCUAAUUUGGAGGUAAAUCCCUUCUAAGGCUAAAUACUUGGCGAGAGACCGAUAGCGAACAAGUACCGUGAGGGAAAGAUGAAAAGAACUUUGGAAAGAGAGUUAAAAGUGCUUGAAAUUGUUGAGAGGGAAGCGCUUGAAGCUCGUGGGUGCGCCCAGGCUUAAGCAGUCUAACGGGCUGAUGAAUGUGCUGGGUGCUGGUCAGCGCGGAUUGACUUGGCGGGACAACAGUCGGGUACCUGGGUUAGCCCGGCCGAUGCCGCCGAGUCGAUCAAGGCGUAAAGGGUGCUCUGUCCUCCGGGAUCUGCACUCUAAAGGCGCUGGCAGAAGAGCUUCAAUCGGCCCGUCUUGAAACACGGACCAAGGAGUCUAACAUGUAUGCGAGUUGGCGGGUGGUAAACCCGUAAGCGCAAGUAACCUGACUGGUGGGAUGGCCUGUGCCUGCACCAUCGACCGACCAUGUUGCUUUUGCGAAAGGUUUGAGUGCGAGCAUACCUGUUGGGACCCGAAAGAUGGUGAACUAUGCCUGAGCAGGGUGAAGCCAGAGGAAACUCUGGUGGAGGCUCGUAGAUGUGCUGACGUGCAAAUCGCUUUUCGGACUUGGGUAUAGGGGCGAAAGACUAAUCGAACCAUCUAGUAGCUGGUUCCCUCCGAAGUUUCCCCCAGGAUAGCUGGAGCUUGAUCAGUUUUAUCGGGUAAAGCGAAUGAUUAGAGGUUCGGGGGAUGAAACAUCCUUCACCUAUUCUCAAACUUUAAAUAGGUAAGACGAGUCGGUUGCUUAAUUGAACCGGCUCAUUCAAUGUGAGCUCCAAGUGGGCCAUUUUUGGUAAGCAGAACUGGCGAUGCGGGAUGAACCGAUAGUCGAGUUAAGGUGCCAAACUGCGCGCUAACCUAGAUCCCACAAAGGGUGUUGAUUGAUAUAAACAGCAGGACGGUGGUCAUGGAAGUCGAAAUCCGCUAAGGAGUGUGUAACAACUCACCUGCCGAAUCAAUUAGCCCCGAAAAUGGAUGGCGCUGAAGCGCGCGACCUAUACUCGGCCAUGGGAGCAAGUGCGAGGCUCCCAUGAGUAGGAGGGCGUGGGUGUCGAGACUAAGCCUUUGGCGUGAGCCUGGGUGAAUCGGCAUCUAGUGCAGAUCUUGGUGGUAGUAGCAAAUAUUCAAAUGAGAACUUUGAAGACUGAAGUGGAGAAAGGUUCCAUGUGAACAGCAAUUGGACAUGGGUUAGUCGAUCCUAAGAGAUGGGGUAAUCCUGUUUGAAGAGCGCGAUUCGCGCUGCCCAUCGAAAGGGAAAAGGGUUAAGAUUCCCUUACCUGGACAAGGCGGCUGGCGGUAACGCAAGCGAGCCCGGAGACAUCGGCAUCGGCCCUGGGAAGAGUUCUCUUUUCUUUUUAACAGCCCGAAGGCCCUGGAAUCGAAUCAUUCGGAGAUAGGGCUCAGAGGCUGGUAAAGCACCGCACUUCUCGCGGUGUCCGGCGCGCCGUUGACGGUCCUUGAAAAUCCGGGGGAGCAUUUCCGAUCUUGCCAGGUCGUACUCAUAACCGCAUCAGGUCUCCAAGGUGAACAGCCUCUAGUCGAUAGAACAAUGUAGAUAAGGGAAGUCGGCAAAAUGGAUCCGUAACUUCGGGAAAAGGAUUGGCUCUGAGGGCUGGGUCUAGGGGUCGCAUCUUGAUGCUCGGGCCUGUCGGCGGUCUACCAAGCUGGCAACGGCUUGGCGGACUGCUGCGUGGCCCUUGUGGACGGGUGCGGAACUUCGGCGUUCCCUAGGCGACGAACAACCAACUCAGAACUGGUACGGACAAGGGGAAUCCGACUGUUUAAUUAAAACAAAGCAUUGUGAUGGUCCCAAAGGAUGUUGACACAAUGUG